GUAAAAUAAUAUUGCUCAAUAUUUCAUGGCUAUGAAUGGUAUAUUUGACUUCUGCACAUGUAAGACUACACACAUACUCAAUAUCAAGCACUUUUACUGCAGCAAUUUGGAGAAAUUCAACAAUAAAAGUCCCAUAGUUCUAUCUACAGAUCUAGAUAUAUAGAGCAUAUUUUCCCAUGUUUGAACUACUGUAAAAACACAUUGCUCAAUAUUUCCUGGCCGAUAUACUGUAUACUGUAUCUGUAUUUUAUACUUUCAAGAGUAAAAUGUUUUUCGAUAAAUACAUAACUUUAGAAAGUAACUUUUAUUUAUAUAGUUGAGUAUGUCUUGCAGAUAUCGUUAAUAAAUUACAUUUAUUUUUAAGCCAUCCUAUCAAAGAUGGGCUAAUUAUAAAAGGUUUGGAUAGACCUGUAAUGAUUUUUAACUUCAAGUGGAGCGACAGAUCUUGGUGUUUUUUCACACCUACACGAGAAAUCCCCCAUAAUACCUUGAGACAGGUUGUUGUUGGAGAAGACAUCACACAAACAGAGUGAUACGUCCUAACGGAUAAUUUACUGACCUGCUUGUGUAUUACACGUUUAUUACAUGAAAAUGCCUGGAAAGAGCGGGUAAGUAUUGCUUUACUAAUUAUUUUAUUUUAUUUUAUGAAGAAACUCUGAAUUUGAACUUUUUACUUAGCUUUUAAAUUGCUUAAACUCUGCAAGGUCAUCGACGUCCUUGUCAGACAUUGUUUUCUUUAUGAGGCCGAAGCGUAGUUUAUAAUGUAAUGAUAUAAUAUUGAAAUAUAAGACAUAAGGCAACCACUAGGAUCAAGAAUGUAAUGCUUACUUGUCGGUAGACGCUACAUAACUUUGGGAAAUGAUGCCACAUUUUAAUGAUGAACAAACAUGCAUGGCCAUUGUCAAAGGUCCUUUGACUUCUUACCUUAAAAUAACAAAUUGGUUCUGUGGCUAUCCACCACUCUCAUCUUUGUUGAUAUGACCAUUUCACACUAAUUAAAUGCAUUUUACAGCAUUGAAUUAGCGUUACAUACUACGGGGCAUAACUGUGAUGAAGUUAGGGCCCGUAUAGUAUUUAAUUCAUUUAGGCCAAUUAAUGUUAUUUUUCAAUGUUUUUAAAGUAUAACUUUGCUUUAAAAAAUGGCCCAUUGUGAACCUCAACAGUAAAAACAGUUUGUUGACAUUCAGAUGAUAUAUGUUUUUCUGAAAAAUUAAAAAUACUCUAUGAAUUUCCUUAAAACAAGUGUGACUAUAUACAUUUCCAAAUGUAGUCUUAGAUGUGUAGAAGUCAAGUACACCAUCUAUAGCCAUGAAAUAUUGAGCAAUAUUAUUUUACAGUAGCUCAAAUAUGCCAUUUGGAGGUACACAUAUGGACUUUUGUUCUUAGAUUUCUCCAAAUUGGUACAGUAAAAGUGCUUGAUAUUGAGUGUGUGUGUAGUCUUAGAUGUGUAGAAGUCAAGUACACCAUCCAUAGCCAUGAAAUAUUGAGCAAUAUUAUUUUACAGUAGCUCAAAUAUGGUGAAAUGUGCCACUUGGAGGUACAAAUAUGAACUUUUGUUCUUACAUUUCUCCAAAUUGCUGCAGUAAAAGUGCUUGAUAUUGAGUAUAUGUGUAGUGUUAGAUGUGUAGAAGUCAGAUAUACCAUCCAUAGCCAUGAAAUAUUGAGCAAUAUCAUUUUACAGUAGCUCAAAUAUGGUAAAGUGUGCCACUUGGAGGUAAAAAUAAGGACUUUUAUAGUUGAAUUUCUCCAAAUUGCUACAGUAAAAAUGCUUGAUAUUGAGUAUGUGUGUAGUGUUAGAUGUGUAGAAGUCAGAUAUACCAUCCAUAGCCAUGAAAUAUUGAGCAAUAUUAUUUUACACUAGCUCAAAUGUGGUCAAAUAUGCCACUUGGAGGUAAACAUAUGGACUUUUAUUGUUGAAUUUCUCCAAAUUGCUGCAGUAAAAGUGCUUGAUAUUGAGUAUAUGUGUAGUGUUAGAUGUGUAGAAGUCAGAUAUACCAUCCAUAGCCAUGAAAUAUUGAGCAAUAUUAUUUUACAGUAGUUCAAAUAGGGUGAAAUGUGCCACUUGGAGGUACAAAUAAGGACAUUUAUUGUUGAAUUUCUCCAAAUUGCUGCAGUAAAAGUGCUUGAUAUUGAGUGUGUGUGUAGUCGUAGAUGUGCAGAAGUCAGAUAUACCAUCCUUAGCCAUGAAAUAUUGAGCAAUAUGUUUUUACAGUAGCUCAAAUAUGGUAAAGUGUGCCACUUGGAGGUAAAAAUAAGGACUUUUAUUGUUGAAUUUCUCCAAAUUGCUACAGUAAAAAUGCUUGAUAUUGAGUGUGUGUGUAGUCUUAGAUGUGUAGAAGUCAAGUACAUCAUCCAUAGCCAUGAAAUAUUGAGCAAUAUUAUUUUACAGUAGCUCAAAUAUGGUAAAGUGUGCCACUUGGAGGUAAAAAUAAGGACUUUUAUUGUUGAAUUUCUCCAAAUUGCUACAGUAAAAAUGCUUGAUAUUGAGUGUGUGUGUAGUCUUAGACGUGUGGAAGUCAAAUAUAUCAUACAUAGUUAUGAAUUAUAGAGCAAUAUGUUUUUACAGUACCUCAAAUAUGGUCAAAUAUGCAAUCUCUGGAGGCAUAAAUAUGGGAUUUUUAUUUUUACAUUUAUCCACACUGGCAGAGUAAAGAUACUCGAUACGAGGUGUUUUUUAUUCAUCAUGGGCGCAUGGAAAACUUUAAUGCAACAUAUUUUAUUUUAAAUGUAGGUUCGAAUUACACCUUAAUAUUCAUAAUACCUUUAUUUUGAAAACCCGAAGAGAAUGCACUGUUUCUUCGCAUUUACCGUAAUGCUGAGAAUAAUCGCACACUUGAAAUUUACGUGCGGCUGGUUUGACCACGGAGAUCGAAGUUACGGCUGGCUUGACCGCAGUGAUUCGUUCAGGAGGAUGCAUGAGGCUGCAACAAAAGUAGUAAACUCAUUGAAAUCGACAAAACCAUCCUUGUCGUCAUCCAUUGUUUUGAAGAAACUUUCCGCUGCUUUGCCAGAGUCCUUCAUAAAGAGAAACAGAGUUGUAAGUAGAUUGUAAAACAUUAAAACAGAGGCAGCUCACUGUUGUAAAAGUACUGUAGCUUUUCUACUUACUCCUUUCCCAAGCUCUUUGCGGACCAGUUUAACAACUUCUGCCUUGUUCAGUUUUUUAUCUGGUCCAGCAUGCUCAUGGAAGAUAGCGUAGAUCAUUCCGAUCGCAUCCAUAAGGUUUGACAUCGUGGC